rnacentral:tRNA from 1 species
GCCCUCGUAGCUCAGGGGAUAGAGCACGACUCUCCUAAAGUCGGUGUCGCAGGUUCGAUUCCUGCCGGGGGCACCA